rfam:Otolemur garnettii contig007609, whole genome shotgun sequence.
AUACUUACCUGGCAGGGGAGAUAGAUAACCAUGAUCAUGAAGGUGGUUUAGGGCAAGGCUCAUCCAUUGCAUUGCGGAUGUGUUGACCCCUGUGAUUUCCCCAAAUGUGUGAAACUCGAUUGCAUAAUUUGUGGUAGUGGGGGACUGCAUUCACACUCUCCCAUU